ACUCUGAGCAAGCAAGGGAGCCCAGAGCCGCUGUUGGCCCUGCCCACCAACUGGCCAGAGGGAAGGCCUUCUGUGAUUUGUGGGGGCUGCAUCAUUCCUCUCUCCAGAAGAUCUUCUCUCUUCUAAGGGCAUCAAGACAUUUUAGAGCCACUCAGCUCAGCUCCCAGCUUCCUUGAGAUCCCACGGCACCUGCAGCCCUGCUGGCCCAUUCUGCACUGCCCGCUCAUGAAGCUGUCUCUCCUUUCUUAGCCAGUAGUAAGCCUCCCCACCAGGCCCGUGGACUCCGUGGGAGGACUAUGGCACAUGAAAGCUGGAAGCGCUUCUUUCCGACUGCAUCGCCCAGCACCAGAGCCCGAGUUCUGUAAAGCUCUGUUAAAGGCACAUGAGCUGUGCUGGCUUCAACUGCCCUGAACUUGGAUAAGCUGGGCCGCUGAUGGACCCUUCCCAACCGGUUGUUGCUGCCUUGGUUUCCCGACAGUCCACUGUGCUGACCCUGCAGCAGGGACUCCCAGCUUUGCAUCAACUC
ensembl:lncRNA FAM181A-AS1 FAM181A antisense RNA 1